CCAGAAUCCAGCAAACUUAACAUGGAAUAGCAGUCACAUCCAUGCUCGAUAGCAGGUGCCAAUAUGAAGCCAGAGAGACCUAGAAGCACCCACUCCACCUCAGUAAACACCAGGGAUUCCUACUACAUUGAGGAAGAUAGCAAUGACUAAAAGAAAUUCUACACCCAAGAUUUCAGCCACUUUGAACUCAAAUGUUUCUCGUUCUCAUGGGGGCAAAGGAGAAAAGGAAAUGAACAGAGUAACUAUAACGUAAUAUGUGGCCCAAUGCCAGGAAUAGCAAUCAGCUCACAGUGCACGGUCAAGAAGAAUGAAUGAAAUUUAAACAAGUGAAGGAAGGCACAAAGGAAAGAAGGAAAAAGGAAGGACAGAAUUUUUGAAGCAUUAUUGAUAUACUUCAGGAAAAUGAUCUGUAAAUUAUUAAGUAUUGUCUGCAUAACUUAAA